ACCUCCCCUGAGUGCUCAUGGGAGAUGGUGCUGCGCAUGCGCAAAAUCUCCAGGCCAGAAUCCACUGCGUCUGAUCUGCUGAGAGGGCGUGUGUGCUGUGUGAGGUGACCAGAGGGCGUGUGUGCUGUGUGAGGUGACCAAGUCCACGUAGCCCAAAGGAGAAUCUGUGUGAUACAGACUAACGAUGUCCUGUUUCAUUUGGAAGUCAAGGUUGGUGACACCUAAUUGCGUUUCUGCUGCAAGGAAUUUAAGGACAUCCUCCGUCUUCAUUUUCAAGAAGUCACAAGAAAGCACAUUUCAUGUGUUCAGCCCAAAACUACAUUUCCUAGUGACAUUGCAACCAAGAGUGAGCAAAGAGUUGAAGCAUAAAUCAGGUAAGUCUUCUGGAUAUUCUACAUUCUUCUUCCUUUUCCUGCUUAGAAUAAGGACAUGAAGUAGGGCUAUAGCAGGAAUCUUGGAGCCAGAGAACUUGAGAAUCAAAAUUAUUUGCUAAGGAUGAUGGUAACUUUGGAAGUGCCAAUUAGUCCUGGAUUGC
rnacentral:lncRNA from 1 species